rnacentral:ribozyme from 1 species
AAAAGUUUUGUUUUCAGUAUAUAGUAUACAUUCUGACAAUACAUCCACGUCGUACAGAACGGUAACAUAUCUCUACCAAUAUCUGAUCUUUGGUACAGGGGGAGACCCCACCCCUUGGGAAGAUGGGUUAAAUGGCUAAAUUGAGGGUA